GGAUAUGAGGGCGAUCAGGCUGCCAUCUGUCACCCUAUUGAUUGCCUGGGUUGAUUCGGCUGAUCUGGCUGGCUAGGCGGGUGUUCCCUUCCUCCCUCACGUUCAUCCCUCCAGAAGCUGUGUUGAAGAGGACUGCCUUCCCCAAACAGAGGAGGACUGGUCUUCAGUCAGGGUAUAUAAGUAGCUGUGCUUUCCCUCCAAUAACUUCCAAAAAGCUCUCAAGAAGACGUUGGACAACAGAAAGACAACUAUUGCAUGGUCUCACUUAUAUCUGGAAUCUAAAAAAGUUUAUCUUGUUUUUC
rnacentral:snRNA from 1 species